ensembl:snRNA U6 U6 spliceosomal RNA
GUGCUUGCUUCAGCAGCACAUAUAAUAAAAUUGGAACGAUACAGAGAGGAUUAGCAUGGCCCCUGCACAAGGAUGACAUGCAAAUUUGUGAAAUGUUUCAUAUUUUU